CGUGUUGCCUGCAAGGGCGUAUGGUGGAUGCCUUGGCAGACAGGACCGAUGAAGGACGUUUGAGGCUGCGAUAUGCCUCGGGGAGCCGCCAACAGGGCUUUGAUCCGAGGAUUUCCGAAUGGGGGAACCCACCGGCCGUCAUGGGCCGGUACCGCCGUGUGCGGGGGGUACGCAGGGAAGUGAAACAUCUCAGUACCUGCAGGAAAGGAUAUUCCGUGAGUAGUGGCGAGCGAAAGCGGAUCAGGCCAAACCUUGCGCGUGUGAUACCCGUCGGGGGUUGCGCGCGGGGUGUAGAGGGAUCGCGUUUGCCGGCUCCGACGGGCCGGCCGUCAGUUGCAUAAAACCAUGUGCCAGGGGAACCGGGUUGAAUACCGGGCCGCAGAGGGUGAGGGCCCCGUACCCGAACGCGCAUGGUCUGGCGAUCGCGUCUCCCAAGUAGCACGGGCCCCGUGGAAUCCCGUGCGAAUCUGUCCCGACCGUGGGAUAAGCCUAAAUAUUCCUGUCUGACCGAUAGCGAACGAGUACCGUGAGGGAAAGGUGAAAAGUACCCCGGGAGGGGAGUGAAACAGUCUCUGAAACCAUGCGCCUACGAACCGUCGGGGCCC
rnacentral:rRNA from 1 species